UUGGUCAAUGGACGGAAGUCUGAAACAGCCAUGCCGCGUGAAGGAUGAAGGCGUUCUGCGUUGUAAACUUCUUUUAUCUGGGAAGAAACCACAGAUUUCUAUUUGUGUUGACGGUACCAGAUGAAUAAGCACCGGCUAACUCCGUGCCAGCAGCCGCGGUAAUACGGAGGGUGCGAGCGUUAUCCGGAUUUACUGGGUUUCACGGGUGCGUAGGCGGGCUAUUAAGUCAGAGGUGAAAUCUCCGGGCUCAACCUGGAAACUGCCUUUGAUACUAUUAGCCUUGAAUUAUGUUGAGGUUGGCGGAAUAGAACAUGUAGCGGUGAAAUGCUUAGAUAUGUUAUGGAACAC
rnacentral:rRNA from 1 species